rnacentral:rRNA from 1 species
AGAGUUUGAUCAUGGCUCAGGAUGAACGCUAGCUACAGGCUUAACACAUGCAAGUCGAGGGGCAGCAUGUUGGUUGCUUGCAACCAACGAUGGCGACCGGCGCACGGGUGAGUAACGCGUAUCCAACCUACCCUUGUCCAUCGGAUAACCCGUCGAAAGGCGGCCUAACACGAUAUGCGGUUCACAGCAGGCAUCUAACGUGAACGAAAUGUGAAGGAGGAGGAUGGGGAUGCGUCUGAUUAGCUUGUUGGCGGGGUAACGGCCACCAAGGCUACGAUCAGUAGGGGUUCUGGAGAGGAAGGUCCCCCANAUUGGAACUGAGACACGGUCCAAACUCCUACGGGAGGCA